UAAGCAUAUCAAUAAGCGGAGGAAAAGAAACCAACAGGGAUUGCCCCAGUAACGGCGAGUGAAGCGGCAACAGCUCAAAUUUGAAAUCUGGCCCUUGGGUCCGAGUUGUAAUUUGUAGAGGAUGCUUUUGGCGAGGUGCCUUCCGAGUUCCCUGGAACGGGACGCCAUAGAGGGUGAGAGCCCCGUCUGGUCGGACACCGAGCCUCUGUAAAGCUCCUUCGACGAGUCGAGUAGUUUGGGAAUGCUGCUCAAAAUGGGAGGUAUAUGUCUUCUAAAGCUAAAUAUUGGCCAGAGACCGAUAGCGCACAAGUAGAGUGAUCGAAAGAUGAAAAGCACUUUGAAAAGAGGGUUAAAAAGUACGUGAAAUUGUUGAAAGGGAAGCGCCUAUGACCAGACUUGGGCCCGGUGAAUCAUCCAGCGUUCUCGCUGGUGCACUUUGCCGGGCACAGGCCAGCAUCAGUUUGGCGCGGGGGAAAAAGGCUUUGGGAAUGUGGCUCCCUCGGGAGUGUUAUAGCCCAUUGUGUAAUACCCUGCGCCGGACUGAGGUACGCGCAUUGCAAGGAUGCUGGCGUAAUGGUCAUCAGCGACCCGUCUUGAAACACGGACCAAGGAGUCGUCUUCGUAUGCGAGUGUUCGGGUGUCAAACCCCUACGCGUAAUGAAAGUGAACGCAGGUGAGAGCUUCGGCGCAUCAUCGACCGAUCCUGAUGUUCUCGGAUGGAUUUGAGUAAGAGCAUACGGGGCCGGACCCGAAAGAAGGUGAACUAUGCCUGUAUAGGGUGAAGCCAGAGGAAACUCUGGUGGAGGCUCGCAGCGGUUCUGACGUGCGAAUCGAUCGUCAAAUAUGGGCAUGGGGGCGAAAGACUAAUCGAACCUUCUAGUAGCUGGUUUCCGCCGAAGU
rnacentral:rRNA from 1 species